GCACAAUUGAUAAGACAUGUUGUUUAUUGAGAUAAACAUGUACAGUGAAAGAUCGCUGGAGUGAACUUCGACUUGACUUGUGAUCUCGUGUAGAGGCUGCCCAAGUGGGACGUGGCCCGAAGUAACGUUAAGAAGGAGCUCCUAUCGUUCCAGCUGCCUUCUAGGAGAAAUAGAUCGCUGAGGUGAACUUGAGGAGGAUUUGCUCUACACGGAGUUGCACGACUGGGACGUAGCCCGAAGUCAAUACCAAGAAGGAGCUACAAUCAUUCCAGCUUCCUUUUACUACUAGGAGAAAUUAAUUCCAAUUAAUUUGGGUUCCUAUAGUCAGAUUUCGGUUCUUCGGUGUAACUUGGAUCCACGUAUUUCCACGGACAGACUGACUGAUCAGCUUGUCGUACGGAUCGAGUGUAUAUAUAUAUUUUGUAUGCCCUGCAUGUUACAUACAUUUUUACACAAACAAUACGCCCUUUUAUCUAUUUUUAGUGAGCUCAUUGCAGAAAAAUCUUAUCAUUUUUAAUGGAAUUGAAAACUAAUUAUUUGAAAUGUUUUAUUUAUCGUGUUGCGCAUUUCUAAAUAAUUGCAAUUUGCUUUUUACGGCUGCAAAUGGAAACGGAAAACUGCCAACGCAAUUCGCCAAUUCUCAAGAGGCUUUGGAUUAUAUAGAAGCUUGCGCAAAAUGCACUCGUAAAACGUUAAAUGUGAGCACAGUUCCGAGCGGGGCUUCGUUUGGAGUCUCGAGCUGGAGGCAGCACUUGGAACUCGGCCGGUGGAUGGGCGAGUACCCUGAGCACAAUGGAACCGUAGGGGGCGGGGGGCACCACAUCGGCCUCCUAGCGACACGUAGCCAUUGCGUGUGUUGUCAUUAGGCCCCCGGCGGGGGAUUACCCGCCCAUCUGUUCGCCCGACUCGACUUGUAAUGUGGGCGAUCGCGCGGCCUCGCAUAAAUUGGCAUAAAAAUAGAAUAUAUUUGGCGAGUGCGCUGUCUGACAAAAAAUUAUUUCAUUUCUUAGCAGUUGUCAAAUAGAAAAGAAUCUAGUUGCCGUUAAGACGAAAAAA